GUCGUCGUGGCCCUAGUGGUUAAGGCGACAGACUUGAAAUCUGUUGGGAUCUGCCCGCACAGGUUCGAAUCCUGUCGGCGACG
rfam:Ciona savignyi cont_30047, whole genome shotgun sequence.